UUUCCAGACUCCUACGGGAGGCAGCAGUGGGGGAUAUUGCACAAUGGGGGAAACCCUGAUGCAGCGACGCCGCGUGGGCGAAGAAGUAUUUCGGUAUGUAAAGCCCUAUCAGCAGGGAAGAAGAAAUGACGGUACCUGAGUAAGAAGCAUCGGCUAACUCCGUGCCAGCAGCCGCGGUAAUACGGAGGAUGCGAGCGUUAUCCGGAUUUAUUGGGUUUAAAGGGUGCGCAGGCGGCCUGUUAAGUCAGCGGAAAAGGCCGGGGGCCCACCCCCGGCGAGCCGUUGAAACUGUCGGACUAGAGACGGCGAGAAGUACGCGGAAUGCGCGGUGUAGCGGUGAAAUGCAUAGAUAUCGCGCAGAACUCCGAUUGCGAAGGCAGCGUACCGGCGCCGGACUGACGCUGAGGCACGAAAGCGUGGGUAUCGAACAGGAUUAGAUACCCCAGUACU
rnacentral:rRNA from 1 species